rnacentral:lncRNA from 1 species
ACAGUGGAGGCGGCGACGGCUGCAGCUUGUCGCCCGCCGUGGUCAAGCAGUCGCCUGGGGGCUCGGAGGAGGCAAGAAGGGCCAGGCGUGUUCCAGGCAGGGUCUUGAGGGUGCUGCGGUUCACCUAGGAGACCUCUGACUUAUUUCCUCAUUCGAUUUCCUUUUCACGAUACCUUAACGAGACCGAGAGAAAAGUGGUUCUGCUUUGGUUUCCGAGUGGACGAGGUUCUCUGGGCAGCGGGACUGAGUCUUGGCGCCCAGGUGAGCCGCCCUUCUCCGACGAGAAACUACUUGUUGGCGUUUUCCGGAUUCAGGUGGUUGAGCCGCUUCCCUGGGCGCUGGGGUGGGGGAGAAAGCCCCCGCCGGCCGCCGGCCGCGCUCCCCGCCUUCAUUCUGUGAUCUGCGGAUUUGCCAGUCGCCAACCUCCGCGCCCAGAGUCACCAUCGCGCAGGGUUGGGCAAACCAUGGAGCUCGGGGCGGGUCCAGCCGGCACUGCCCGACCCCUCAAAUGUCAGUCUCCAGCCACCACACCACGGUUAUCUAAAGCAAAACAAGUUUUAGAAGUUUAUCCCAGGAAGAUAGUGCUU